AUCAACCUGGUCGUCUCGUUGUGACUCAUCGUUAACUUGACUGGACAGAGGCAACUCCUCAGUGUCGACAUCUGGCUGUGAUGAACUAGAACUAGCAGAAGCAACUGGUGGUUGGAUGGUUUGUGGUUGUAGCUUAUCAACUUCAACUUGUGCAAGAUCUUCCUUGAUGUCAAGCUGUGGCCACUUAAAGUUGCUUGCCUUUUCUCUUGCAGACUUGAAUACCGUCAAAAUAUAACCACCACUGUCAUCAUCGAAUGGGGCAACGAUUGCUCUUCGCCCCCAAGUGGCUGAUCUCCAAGUGCUCAUUCUCCCUGGCUGCUGCUGCUGCUGCAUAGCCGAAGUAUUACGGAUCAAGCCUCUUCUUGGUUG
rnacentral:misc_RNA from 1 species